GACGAACGCUGGCGGCACGCUUAAAACAUGCAAGUCGAACGCGAAGCCCAGGCUUGCCCGGGUGGAAAGUGGCGAACGGGUGCGUAACACGUGAGCAACCUGCCCCGAAGACCGGGAUAACACCGGGAAACCGGUGCUAAUACCGGAUGUCUUCACCAUGUCGCAUGGCGAGGUGAAGAAAUGGAUUCCGCUUCGGGAUGGGCUCGCGGCCUAUCAGCUUGUUGGUGGGGUAACGGCCUACCAAGGCAACGACGGGUAGCUGGUCUGAGAGGAUGUCCAGCCACACUGGGACUGAGACACGGCCCAGACUCCUACGGGAGGCAGCAGUUAGGAAUCUUGCGCAAUGGGCGAAAGCCUGACGCAGCGAUGCCGCGUGCGGGAUGAAGGCCCUCGGGUCGUAAACCGCUUUCAGCAGGGACGAUUGUGACGGUACCUGCAGAAGAAGCCCCGGCCAACUACGUGCCAGCAGCCGCGGUAAUAC
rnacentral:rRNA from 1 species